rnacentral:rRNA from 1 species
GACGAACGCUGGCGGCGUGCUUAACACAUGCAAGUCGAACGAAGUGGCGAACGGGUGAGUAACGCGUAAUCACCCUGCCCUUCAGAGGGGGACAACAGUUGGAAACGACUGCUAAUACCGCAUACUGCAGGAGGGGCUUGCGUCUGAGUAGCUAGUUGGAGGGGUAACGGCCCACCAAGGCGAUGAUCAGUAGCCGGUCUGAGAGGAUGAACGGCAAAAUGGGGAAUGAGACACGGCCCAGACUCCUACGGGGGGCAGCAGUGGGGAAGCGUCCGAAAUGGACGAAAGUCUGACGGAGCAACGCCGCGGGAGUGAAGAAGGCCUUCGGGUUGGAAAGCUCUGUUAAGCGGGACGCGGUACCGGAAUAGAAAGCCACGGCUAACUACGUGCCAGCAGCCGCGGUAAUUC